rnacentral:misc_RNA from 1 species
UCCCCGUUAACCGGGGCAGUCUCCCUAGAGUGCCCGGCAUAACCCGCUGGUAACUAGGGACGAGGGUUGCGCUCGUUGCGGGACUUAACCCAACAUCUCACGACACGAGCUGACGACAGCCAUGCAGCACCUGUGUAGGCUGGUAUUGCUACCUCGUUACCCUUUCGGGCUUCUACUACCUACAUGUCAAGGCCAGGUAAGGUUCUUCGCGUUGCAUCGAAUUAAGCCACAUACUCCACCGCUUGUGCAGGCCCCCGUCAAUUCCUUUGAGUUUUAGCCUUGCGGCCGUACUCCCCAGGCGGGGAACUUAAUGCGUUAGCGCCGGCACGGGAGGAGUCGACACCUCCCACACCUAGUUCCCAUCGUUUACGGCGUGGACUAC